GACGAACGCUGGCGGCGUGCUUAACACAUGCAAGUCGAACGGACCGCUCUAGCUUGCUGGGGUUGGUUAGUGGCGAACGGGUGAGUAACACGUGAGUAAUCUGCCCUGGACUUUGGGAUAAGCACUUGAAAGGGUGUCUAAUACUGGUUAUUCUGCAUUGGUCGCAUGGCUGGUGUGGGAAAGGUUUUUUCUGGUUUGGGAUGGGCUCGCGGCUUAUCAGCUUGUUGGUGGGGUAA
rnacentral:rRNA from 1 species